rnacentral:misc_RNA from 1 species
GAUGAAGAACGUAGCGAAAUGCGAUAAGUAAUGUGAAUUGCAGAAUUCAGUGAAUCAUCGAAUCUUUGAACGCACCUUGCGCUCCUUGGUAUUCCGAGGAGCAUGCCUGUUUGAGUGUCAUUAAUAUAUCAACCUCUUCAGCUUAUGCUUGUUGAGUGUUGGAUGGUGGGGGUUUGCUGGUGUCUUAUGAAGUCAGCUCCUCUGAAAUGCAUUAGCGGAACAAUUUGUUGACCGUUCAUUGGUGUGAUAAAAAUAUCUACGCUAUUGACGUCAGUCAGUUCAGCUUCUAACAGUCCAUUGACUUGGACAAAUCUUUCAUUAAUGUGACCUCAAAUCAGGUAGGACUACCCGCUGAACUUAAGCAUAUCAAUAAGCGGAGGA